rnacentral:miRNA from 1 species
AGAAUUCAAGGCUGUAGUGUUCUGUGCUAGUGCCUGUGAAUAGCUACUGCACUCCAGCCUGGGCAACAUAGUGAGAUCUC